CACGUAGGGUGCGAGCGUUGUCCGGAAUCAUUGGGCGUAAAGCGCGUGUAGGCGGUUCGGUAAGUCUGCUGUGAAAGUCCAGGCUCAACCCUGGGAUGCCGGUGGAUACUGCCGAACUAGGAGUGCGGAAGAGGCGAGUGGAAUUCCCGGUGUAGCGGUGAAAUGCGCAGAUAUCGGGAGGAACACCAAUUGCGAAGGCAGCUCGCUGGGACGUUACUGACGCUGAGACGGCGAAAGCGUGGGGAGCAAACAGG
rnacentral:rRNA from 1 species